rnacentral:rRNA from 1 species
AUUGAACGCUGGCGGCAUGCUUUACACAUGCAAGUCGAACGGUAACAGGCCGCAAGGUGCUGACGAGUGGCGAACGGGUGAGUAAUGCAUCGGAACGUGCCCAGUCGUGGGGGAUAACGCAGCGAAAGCUGUGCUAAUACCGCAUACGAUCUAUGGAUGAAAGCGGGGGACCGUAAGGCCUCGCGCGAUUGGAGCGGCCGAUGUCAGAUUAGAUAGUUGGUGGGGUAAAGGCCCACCAAGGCGACGAUCUGUAGCUGGUCUGAGAGGACGACCAGCCACACUGGGACUGAGACACGGCCCAGACUCCUACGGGAGGCAGCAGUGGGGAAUUUUGGACAAUGGGCGCAAGCCUGAUCCAGCAAUGCCGCGUGCAGGAAGAAGGCCUUCGGGUUGUAAACUGCUUUUGUACGGAACGAAACGGUCUGGGUUAAUACCCUGGGCUAAUGACGGUACCGUAAGAAUAAGCACCGGCUAACUACGUGCCAGCCGCCGCAGUAAAAC